UAGUAACUGCGAGUGAAGAGGGAAAAGCUCAAAUUUAAAAUCUGGCGGGCUCUGUCCGUCCGAGUUGUAAUCUGGAGAAGCGUUUUCCGCGUCGGACCGUGCAUAAGUCUCCUGGAACGGAGCGUCAUAGAGGGUGAGAAUCCCGUCCAUGGCACGGACCGCCGAUGCUUUGUGAUACGUUUUCAAAGAGUCGAGUUGUUUGGGAAUGCAGCUCAAAAUGGGUGGUAAAUUCCAUCUAAAGCUAAAUAUUGGCGAGAGACCGAUAGCGAACAAGUACCGUGAGGGAAAGAUGAAAAGCACUUUGGAAAGAGAGUUAAACAGUACGUGAAAUUGUUGAAAGGGAAACGCUUGAAGUCAGUCGCGUCCGACGGAACUCAGCCUUGCUUCGGCCUGGUGUACUUUCUGUCGGACGGGUCAACAUCAGUUUUGACCGGUGGAGAAAGGUAGGGGGAAUGUAGCGCUGUUUCGGCGGCGUGUUAUAGCCCCUUGCUGUAUGCAUCGGUUGGGACUGAGGACCGCAGCACGCCUUUUUGGCCGGGGGUUCGCCCCACGUACCGUGCUUAGGAUGUUGGCAUAAUGGCUUUAAGCGACCCGUCUUGAAACACGGACCAAGGAGUCCAACAUGCUUGCGAGUGUUCGGGUGGAAAACCCUUGCGCGUAAUGAAAGUAACAGUUGGGAACCUCCGCAAGGGGGUGCACCGACGCCCGGCCCUGAAGUUCUCUGACGGUGCUGCGGUAGAGCAAGUAUGCUGGGACCCGAAAGAUGGUGAACUAUGCCUGAAUAGGGCGAAGCCAGAGGAAACUCUGGUGGAGGCUCGUAGCGAUUCUGACGUGCAAAUCGAUCGUCAAA
rnacentral:rRNA from 1 species